AGAUUGAACGCUGGCGGCAGGCCUAACACAUGCAAGUCGAGCGGUAGAGAGGUGCUUGCACCUCUUGAGAGCGGCGGACGGGUGAGUAAUGCCUAGGAAUCUGCCUAGUGGUGGGGGAUAACGUUCGGAAACGGACGCUAAUACCGCAUACGUCCUACGGGAGAAAGCGGGGGACCUUCGGGCCUCGCGCCAUUAGAUGAGCCUAGGUCGGAUUAGCUAGUUGGUGAGGUAAUGGCUCACCAAGGCGACGAUCCGUAACUGGUCUGAGAGGAUGAUCAGUCACACUGGAACUGAGACACGGUCCAGACUCCUACGGGAGGCAGCAGUGGGAAUAUUGGACAAUGGGCGAAAGCCUAGAUCCAGCCAUGCCGCGUGUGUGAAGAAGGUCUUCGGAUUGUAAAGCAACUUUAAGUUGGGAGGAAGGUUAGUAACUUAAUACGUUGCGACUUUGACGUUACGACAGAAUAAGCACCGGCUAACUUCGUGCCAGCAGCC
rnacentral:rRNA from 1 species